GAUGAACGCUGACAGAAUGCUUAACACAUGCAAGUCUACUUGAUCCUUCGGGUGAUGGUGGCGGACGGGUGAGUAACGCGUAAAGAACUUGCCCUGCAGUCUGGGACAACAUUUGGAAACGAAUGCUAAUACCGGAUAUUAUGUGAGUUUCGCAUGAAAUUCAUAUGAAAGCUAUAUGCGCUGCAGGAGAGCUUUGCGUCCUAUUAGCUAGUUGGUGAGGUAACGGCUCACCAAGGCGAUGAUAGGUAGCCGGCCUGAGAGGGUGAACGGCCACAAGGGGACUGAGACACGGCCCUUACUCCUACGGGAGGCAGCAGUGGGGAAUAUUGGACAAUGGACCAAAAGUCUGAUCCAGCAAUUCUGUGUGCACGAUGAAGUUUUUCGGAAUGUAAAGUGCUUUCAGUUGGGACGAAGUAAGUGACGGUACCAACAGAAGAAGCGACGGCUAAAUACGUGCCAGCAGCCGCGGUAAUACGUAUGUCGCAAGCGUUAUCCGGAUUUAUUGGGCGUAAAGCGCGUCUAGGCGGUUUGGUAAGUCUGAUGUGAAAAUGCGGGGCUCAACUCCGUAUUGCGUUGGAAACUGCCAAACUAGAGUACUGGAGAGGUGGGCGGAACUACAAGUGUAGAGGUGAAAUUCGUAGAUAUUUGUAGGAAUGCCGAUGGGGAAGCCAGCCCACUGGACAGAUACUGACGCUAAAGCGCGAAAACGUGGGUAGCAAACAGG
rnacentral:rRNA from 1 species